AUGCUGCAGAUGUGGGGGUUUGUUCUCUAUCUCUUCCUGACGGUGGGAGGUGCUGCAGGACAGGGUGUGGAGCAGCCUGCCAAAUUGAUGUCUGUGGAGGGAACCUUUGCUCGGGUCAACUGCACAUACAGCACCUCAGGGUUCAACGGGUUAUCCUGGUACCAGCAACGUGAAGGCCAAGCCCCUGUAUUUCUUUCUUAUGUUGUUUUGGAUGGUUUGAAGGACAGUGGGCAUUUCUCCACUUUCCUGAGCCGCUCGAAUGGGUACAGUUACCUGCUUCUGACAGAGCUCCAGAUCAAAGACUCUGCCUCAUACCUCUGUGCUGUGAGGGA